rnacentral:rRNA from 1 species
UACGAGGGGUCCUAGCGUUGUUCGGAAUCACUGGGCGUAAAGGGUGCGUAGGCGGCUUUACAAGUCAGGUGUGAAAUCCCAUGGCUUAACCAUGGAACUGCAUUUGAAACUGUAGAGCUUGAAUGUCAGAGAGGUGGGCAGAAUUCCUGGUGUAGUGGUGAAAUACGUAGAUAUCAGGAGGAACUCCGGCGGCGAAGGCGGCUCACUGGCUGAACAUUGACACUGAGGCACGAAAGCGUGGGGAUCAAACAGG